rnacentral:tRNA from 1 species
AGAAUUUUAAGUUAAAAAAACUAAUAGCCUUCAAAGCUUUAAAUAAGAAUACCACUUAAAUUCUG